UGCAGUUAAAAAGCUCGUAGUUGGAUUUCGGAGUGGGCCAGUUGGUCCGCCGCAAGGUGUGUUACUGACUGGUUUGCUCUUCUUCGCAAAGACUGCGUGUGCUCUUUAGUGAGUGUGCGUAGGAUUUACGACGUUUACUUUGAAAAAAUUAGAGUGUUCAAAGCAGGCUAUUGCUUGAAUACAUGAGCAUGGAAUAAUGGAAUAGGACUUUGGUCCCAUUUUGUUGGUUUCUAGGACCGAAGUAAUGAUUAAGAGGGACAAUUGGGGGCAUCCGUAUUUCGUUGUCAGAGGUGAAAUUCUUGGAUUUACGAAAGACGAACAACUGCGAAAGCACUUGCCAAGAGUGUUUUCAUUAAUCAAGAACGAAAGUUAGAGGAUCGAAGACGAUCAGAUACCGUCCUAGUUCUAACCAUAAACGAUGUCGACUAGGGAUCAGCGGGUGUUAUCGUACGACUCCGUUGGCACCUUACGGGAAACCAAAGUUUUUGGAUUCCGGGGGAAGUAUGGUUGC
rnacentral:rRNA from 1 species